UACAGAGGGGGCAAGCGUUGUUCGGAAUUACUGGGCGUAAAGGGCGCGUAGGCGGCCUGUUAAGUCGAACGUGAAAUCCCCGGGCUCAACCCGGGAACUGCGUCCGAUACUGGCUGGCUUGAAUCCGGGAGAGGGAUGCGGAAUUCCAGGUGUAGCGGUGAAAUGCGUAGAUAUCUGGAGGAACACCGGUGGCGAAGGCGACAUCCUGGACCGGUAUUGACGCUGAGGCGCGAAAGCCAGGGGAGCAAACGGG
rnacentral:rRNA from 1 species